AACGAACGCUGGCGGCAUGCCUAACACAUGCAAGUCGAACGAGACCUUCGGGUCUAGUGGCGCACGGGUGCGUAACGCGUGGGAACCUGCCCUUAGGUUCGGAAUAACUCCCCGAAAGGGGUGCUAAUACCGGAUAAUGUCUUCGGACCAAAGAUUUAUCGCCUUUGGAUGGGCCCGCGUUGGAUUAGCUAGUUGGUAGGGUAAAAGCCUACCAAGGCGACGAUCCAUAGCUGGUAUGAGAGGAUGAUCAGCAACACUGGGACUGAGACACGGCCCAGACCCCUAGGGGAGGGAGCAGGGGGGAAUAGUGGACAAGGGGGGAAAGCCUAACCCAGAAAUGCCGGGUGAGUGAGGAAGGCCUGAGGUUGAAAAGGCUCUUUUACCCGGGAUGAUAAGAACAGAACCGGGAAAAAAACCUCCGGCUAACUCCGG
rnacentral:rRNA from 1 species